GGUCGCUUGGUCGAGUUGGUUUAGGCAGGGGUCUGCAAAACCUCACACGGCGGUUCGAGUCCGCCAGUGACCU
rnacentral:tRNA from 1 species